GAGAGGAAGCAGUGGAGUGAGAGAGAGGCCGGUGGUGUGUUGGGAAAUGAUAACGUAGUAGUGGGGGAGAGAGAGGCUAGUGGGGUGGUGAUAAGUUAAGGCCGGUGCGGAAAGAGAGUAGAUCGGGAGGAAUUAAAAAAAAAGAGUAGUCCUGGUUGUCGGUUUCAACCGGGACUAGAAGAAUUCCUUUAGUUCCGGUUGGAGCCACAAACUGGGACUUAUUCAUUUACUCCCGACUGGUAGCUCUAACCAGGAUUAAAAGCUCCACUUUUAUCUCGUUUGGAACCACCAACCGGGACUAAAAGAGCUCUGAAGGACUACGAAAUUUAGACCUAGGAC
rnacentral:lncRNA from 1 species